UAGGGAAUCUUCCGCAAUGGGCGAAAGCCUGACGGAGCAACGCCGCGUGAGUGAUGAAGGUCUUCGGUUCGUAAAACUCUGUUAUAAGGGAAGAACAAAUGUGUAAGUAAUUAUGCACGUCUUGACGGUACCUAAUCAGAAAGCACCGGCUAACUACGUGCCAGCAGCCGCGGUAAUACGUAGGUGGCAAGCGUUAUCCGGAAUUAUUGGGCGUAAAGCGCGCGUAGGCGGUUUUUUAAGUCUGAUGUGAAAGCCCACGGCUCAACCGUGGAGAUUCAUUGGAGACUGGAAAACUUGAGUGCGGAAGAGGAAAGUGGAAUUCCAUGUGUAGCGGUGAAAUGCGCAGAGAUAUGGAGGAACACCAGUGGCGAAGGCGACUUUCUGGUCUGUAACUGACGCUGAUGUGCGAAAGCGUGGGGAUCAAACAGG
rnacentral:rRNA from 1 species